rnacentral:rRNA from 1 species
AUUGAACGCUGGCGGCAUGCUUUACACAUGCAAGUCGAACGGUAACAGGUUAAGCUGACGAGUGGCGAACGGGUGAGUAAUGCAUCGGAACGUGCCCGAUCGUGGGGGAUAACGCAGCGAAAGCUGCGCUAAUACCGCAUACGAUCUGAGGAUGAAAGCGGGGGACCGUAAGGCCUCGCGCGAUCGGAGCGGCCGAUGUCAGAUUAGGUGGUUGGUGGGGUAAAGGCUCACCAAGCCGACGAUCUGUAGCUGGUCUGAGAGGACGACCAGCCCCACUGGGACGGAGAAACGGCCCAAACUCCGACGGGAGGCAGCAGUGGGGAAUUUUGGACAAUGGGCGAAAGCCUGAUCCAGCAAUGCCGCGGGCAGGAAGAAGGCCUUCGGGUUGUAAACUGCUUUUGUACGGAGCGAAAAGGCUCUCUCUAAUACAGGGGGCUCAUGACGGUACCGUAAGAAUAAGCACCGGCUAACUACGUGCCAGCCGCCGCGGUAA